AUGGCCGAUGCAAGUGCAGAGUGUUUGGAUGAGUACGUAAACAUUGUCAGCAGGAUGUUUCAUAGCGAGGAUGAAGGUUUUGAGUUCUAUAACAAGUAUGCUCUUGAGAAAGGCUUUAGUGUGAGAAAAGGCUAUGUUGAGUGGGAUGAAGCGAACGAGAAGAUAAUUCUGAGGAAACUUGUCUGUAGUCGUGAAGGUUGCCGUGAAGAGAAGCACAUGAAGAGGAAGAGAGAAGAUAGGAAGAGGAAGCCACGGAAUAUCACUCGUGUGGGGUGUAAAGCGAAAUUUGUCAUUGCAAGAGUCGCGAAAACAGGGCGGUGGUUUGUGAAGGAUUUCAUCGAUGAACACAACCAUCCUCUGGCCCCACGAGACCUUGCUUGCUUUUUGCGUUCCCACAGAAGAAUCAGCGACGAGCAGAAAGCGGACAUUAUAGAGAUGGAAAGUGUUGGAAUCCGAAAACACAAAAUCAUGGAUGUGUUGUGCAUGCAGUACGGUGGAUAUGACCAUGUUGGAUGCAUGACGAGGGACAUCUAUAACUUCUGUCAUCGCUACAAGCAGGAAACAGUCGCUGCCGGUGAUGCUCAGACGGUGAUCUGUCACAUGAUGGCGCGGCAAGAGAGAGACCCAGAUUAUUUCUUCAAAUACUUGGUUGAUAAAGAUGGGCAUCUGAAGGGAUUGUUCUGGUCCGAUACUCAAUCCCGCCUUGACUACGAGGCUUUCGGCGAUGUUGUGGUUUUUGAUAGCACAUACAGGACCAAUAAGUACAAUCUGCCGUUUGUGCCGUUUGUCGGGUUGAAUCACCACCGCAGCACAGUUAUCUUUGGAUGCGGGAUCAUUUCUCAUGAAACUAACGAGGCGUACGAGUGGAUGUUGCGGACAUUUUCUGAAGCCAUGUCGCAGAAGCAUCCGAUAUCUGUAAUCACUGACGGGGACCUUGCAAUGCAGAGAGCGAUCAGGGUGGUGUGGCCUGACUCAUACCACAGGCUGUGUGUAUGGCACAUUCAGCAAAACAUCGUACGCCAUCUGCAUGAUGAUGAGGUUAGGGAAGAAUUCAGAUCUUUCAUAUAUGACUCGUCUUCUAUUGAAGAGCAUGAGAGAAAAUGGAUAGAGUUCUUACGAAGGAAUGAAGUGACAAGUGAGGAGUCGUGGCUGCAUCAGAUGUAUCAGAUGAGGAAGUUGUGGUGUGCUCCAUACCUGGUGGGGCGCUGUUUCUUAGGAUUGAGCAGCAAUCAGCAGAGUGAGAGCCUAAACUCCGUGCUACAUACACAUCUUGAGGGUAAGAUGACAUUGUUUGAUAUGCUAGAGCACUAUGAGCGUUGCCUUUCCGGGCGACGCUUGAACGAGGCGAUCCUAGACAUCGUGGCCUUGCAGUCCGUUCCAUUAACAGAUGCUGAUGCUUCAAGUCUCGAGAAACAUGCUGCCCGGGUUUUCACGCCUUGUAUGUUUCAGUUGGUCAGAUGGAGCAUAAGUGUUGUUAGCAAAUGUGUUAUCAACGAGAUACUAGAUGCAUGGGAGUUGACUACAUAUGUUGUGGCUAAGAUCGAUAGAAGAGAGAAGAAUUCUGAAGUGCGCUGUGAGAUGAAGGAAGGUUCUUUGUACAGGAUCAGUUGUUCUUGUCGUAAGCUGGAAUGCUUGGGAACACCUUGCUCUCACAUAUUCUACAUCUUGGGAAUACGUCAAGUGGAACUGCUGCCUAGGUGUUGUGUUCCCAUGAGGUGGACGAUGAGUGCGAAGUCUGCAUUCCCUCCGACCAGAAAGAGCGAGAUGUAUGACUAUUCGGCAAGCCUUGUGAGGUACCAUGAGUUGUGGAAUUUGAGUCACGCGGCAUGUUUCCGGGCAUGUCAAUCUAGUGAGGAGUAUCAGCAUCUGAAGAUGGUUCUGAGUGAACAAGAUGGCAGCAAGGAAUCAAGCCGUGGUGAGGAAGAAUGCAUUAGAUUUGGUCCGGUGCUGCCACAGACCAUGGAAAUUGAUUGUGGAGAUUUGGAAAAAGUUCUGGACCCAGUGCAUGUGCAAGGCCGAGGUGCACCGAAGAAAAGGCUGCAGGCAAAGAUGAAGAAGCAAAGAUCAAAGAGGAAAUGUGGCUACUGUGGGGUGGAAGGUCAUAAUCGGCGUAAAUGCAAUAAAUUGAAAGAGGUGUCAAAUAUGUCUUAA
rnacentral:rRNA from 1 species